UACAGAGGGUGCGAGCGUUAAUCGGAAUUACUGGGCGUAAAGCGUGCGUAGACGGUCAAGUAAGUCGGGUGUGAAAGCCCCGGGCUCAACCUGGGAAUUGCAUUCGAGACUGCGUGGCUAGGGUGCGGAAGAGGGAAGCGGAAUUUCCGGUGUAGCGGUGAAAUGCGUAGAUAUCGGAAGGAACACCAGUGGCGAAAGCGGACUUCCUGGUCCAGCACCGGACGUCAGGCACGAAAGCGUGGGGAGCAAACAGGAUUAGAAACCCCUG
rnacentral:rRNA from 1 species